GAAUAUUGGACAAUGGGCGAAAGCCUGAUCCAGCCAUGCCGCGUGUGUGAAGAAGNUCNNCGGAUNGNAAAGCACUUUAAGUUNNNNNGAAGGGGUUGAAGCUAAUACCUUCAAUCUUUGACGUUACCAACAGAAUAAGCACCGGCUAACUCUGUGCCAGCAGCCGCGGUAAUACAGAGGGUGCAAGCGUUAAUCGGAAUUACUGGGCGUAAAGCGCGCGUAGGUGGUUCAGUAAGAUGGAAGUGAAAUCCCCGGGCUUAACCUGGGAACUGCUUUCAUAACUGCUGAGCUAGAGUACGGUAGAGGGUAGUGGAAUUUCCUGUGUAGCGGUGAAAUGCGUAGAUAUAGGAAGGAACACCAGUGGCGAAGGCGACUACCUGGACUGAUACUGACACUGAGGUGCGAAAGCGUGGGGAGCAAACA
rnacentral:rRNA from 1 species